CAGGGUAUUUACAAAGUUAUAACAAAUUUUCUAUGAAAAUCGUAACAAGUUCAACUCCCUGUAUAAAUAAAAAUAAACACCAAUAUAAACUGGUAUAAUUAACUAACGUAUAAAAAUUAUUUUAGCAGUAUUUUGUAUAUAUCAUGUUAACUAAUAUUUAUUUUGCUAACCUGAAUAUAUACUUUUAUAUGCAUAUUGUUUUAUUACAAUUAAGUUUGAAACAUCUGAAUAGUUUUGCUUCCCUUCCCCUUCCCUUAAUAAAAAUAUUUUCUAUCAAACAAACAACAAACACUAAAAAUAUCAAAAUAGCGUGUACCAAAAUAUAAAGUCACCGCGCACGCUAAAUAAUGACGUCACUGGCUUGAUGAAGUUCAAUUCGCGUGUACCUAACUUUUUUAUUUGCGUACACGUUAGCGUGUACCUAGACACAGCGAAAACAAAAACGGGCACUUGUCUUGUCCUAUUUUCAUAGUUCUGAAUCACAGUAUUGUAGUAAUAACAAAUUUGUUAUUAAUAAUAUAUUAAUUAGUUAUUAAUUGUCAACGACAUGGUAAAAAAAAAGAAUAAGAAUAUUGAUAAUCUACUAAAACCUAACCUAAGUUUGUUUUAUGUAGAAGUAGAAGUAGAGUAAAGAGGUAAACAAAACAAAAACAAACAGAUUCAUCAUGGAUAACAAGACUUUAGCACUAACAUCUUUACUUUUAAUAAUGUUGCUUAAGAAAAGAAGGGAUAGACGUCUUAAAGAAGAGCGACUUCUUAAAAAAAAGCGUAUAUUAUGGAAAAAAAGAAUGGAUCGUGUGAAGAGGCAAAGCGAGUUUAGGCAAAGGAGUAUUAAAAAUAAGUUGAAAGAAGAAUUAUUUGAUGAAGACCCUUUGGCAUAAAAAAACUUUUUACCAAUAAUAAUAAUUUGUUAAAAAAUUUAUUGAGACUACCUAUUUGAUAAUAAAGCUGUAAAAUUUAA